rnacentral:lncRNA from 1 species
CUCCUCCACUUUCACCCCCAGGCAAUGGCCAUAGGCAAUUGAUGGGUGGUGGGGCAAGGGAUGGUCGAUAGCAAGUGGCUUGCCGACAAAAGUCAUCAAAAAUAGGGCCAAACCAUGACCCUUUUCUUGGUCAUCCUCGAGUCCCAGCCCACUCGCUAAUGGUUAGGGGCCCAACAUUGGCCAUGGACUGGUGCAAGGGGGAGUUUGAAGCCCUCAGUGA